CCUGGUUGAUCCUGCCAUUAGUCAUAUGCUUGUCUCAAAGCUUAGCAUGCAUGUCUAAGUAUAAACAAGUUUGUACUGUGAAACUGGGAAUGGCUCAUUAAAUCAGUUAUAGUUUAUUUGAUGAUGACUUGCUACAUGGAUAACUGUGGUAAUUCUAGAGCUAAUACAUGCAACUAAAGCCCCGACUUCCGGGAGGGGUGUAUUUAUUAGAUAAAAAACCAACAAAGUUCACCACUCUCUUGGUGAUUCAUAAUAACUGCUUGGAAUCACAUGGCUUCAUGAUUCAAAUAUCAAUAUCUGCCCUGUCAACUUUCAAUGGUAGGAUAAGGCCUACCAUGGUUUCAAUGGGUAAUGGGGAAUAAGGGUUCAAUCUGGAGAGGGAGCCUGAGAAAUGGCUACCACAUCCAAGGAAGGCAGCAGGCGCGCAAAUUACCCAAUCCCGACUCGGGGAGGUAGUGACAAUAAAUAACAAUAUAGGGCUCUUUUGGGUCUUAUAAUUGGAAUGAGUACAAUUUAAAUCUCUUAACGAGGAACGAUUGGAGGGCAAGUCUGGUGCCAGCAGCUGCAGUAAUUCCAGCUCCAAUAGCGUAUAUUAAAGUUGUUGCAGUCAAAAAGCUCAUAGUUGAACCUUGGGCCUGGGCAGGCAGUCCACCAAAAGGCAUCAUACUGUCUGGCUGGUCCUUUCUUCUUGGUGAAUCAGUGUGCCCUUCCCUGGGUGCAUCAGGGAACCAGGACAUUUACCUUGAGAAAAUUAGAGUGUUCAAAGUGGCAUCACACCUGAAUACAUUAGCAUGGAAUAAUGAAAUAGGAUGUGUGGUUCUAUUUCAUUGGUUUCUAGGAUCACCAUAAUGAUUAAUAGGGACAGUUGGGGGCAUUAGUAUUUGGUCACUAGAGGUGAAAUUCUUGGAUUGACCAAAGACUGACUACCACAAAAGCAUUUGCCAAGGAUGUUUUCAUUAAUCAAGAAUGAAGGUUAGGGGAUUGAAAACAAUCAGAUACCAUUGUAGUCUUAACAGUAAAUGAUGCCAACUAGGCAUUGGGCAGCCUCUUUUUGAUGUGUCACUCAGCACCUUAUGAGAAAUCAAAGACUUUGGGUUCUGGGGGGAGUAUGGUCGCAAGGCUGAAACUUAAAGGAAUUGAUGGAAGGGCACCACCAGGAUUGCAGCCUGUGGCUUAAUUUGACUCAACAUGGGGAAACUCACCAAGUCCAGACAUGACUAGGAUUGACAGAUUGAUAGCUCUUUCAUGAUUUCAUGGGUGGUGGUGCAUGGCCGUUCUUAGUUGGUGGAGUGAUUUGUCUGGUUAAUUCCGAUAACGAACGAGACCUUAACCUGCUAAAUAGCCAGGUUGGCUUCAGCUGGCUUCCAGCUUAUUAGAGGGACUGUCAGCAUCUAGCUGGCAGAAGUUUGAGGCAAUAACAGGUCUGUGAUGCACAACAA
rnacentral:rRNA from 1 species